rnacentral:rRNA from 1 species
CCACCCCGUAAACGAUGAAUACUAGGUGUAGNAGGUAUCGACUCCUUANUGUGCCCCAGUUAACACAAUAAGUAUUNCCGCNUGGGGGAGUACGAUCGCAAGAUUAAAACUCAAAGGAAUUGACGGGGGNCCGCACAAGCAGCGGAGCAUGUGGUUUAAUUCGAAGCAACGCGAAGAACCUUACCUAGACUUGACAUCUCCUGAAUUACCCUUAAUCCGGGGAAGCCCUUACGGGGCAGGAAGACAGGUGGUGCAUGGUUGUCGUCAGCUCGUGUCGUGAGAUGUUGGGUUAAGUCCCGCAACGAGCGCAACCCUUAUCAUUAGUUGCUACCAUUAAGUUGAGCACUCUAGUGAGACUGCCACGGUUAACGUGGAGGAAGGUGGGGAUGACGUCAAAUCAUCAUGCCCCUUAUGUCUAGGGCUACACACGUGCUACAAUGGUGAAUACAAAUAGAUGCAAUACCGCGAGGUGGAGCCAAACUAUAAAAUUCCAUCCCCAGUUCGGAUUGUAGUCUGAAACUCGACUACAUGAAGCCGGAGUUGCUAGUAAUCGCGAAUCAGCAUGUCGCGGUGAAUACGUUCCCGGGCCUUGUACACACCGCCCGUCACACCAUGAGAGCUGGUAACACCCGAAGUCCGUGAGGUAACCGUAAGGAGCCAGCG